rnacentral:lncRNA from 1 species
UUCCGAGUUGAAUCCUUGGUGGAAAACAUGGCUGAACUCCGAUAAAAAAAAAGAUUAACAAUUUUGUAAACAUUGACAUUGGAAAUGAUAUCUUCAAAAGCAAGUGCAUGAGUAACAACAUAUGUGAGAAUUGCUAAAUGCCCCAAAAAUCGGUUUAAACAAAACUGUCAUGCAAGCUAUACAUCUAAAUAAACGGGGACUUAAUAUACUUAUACUAAUCUAGGGGAUAAAAUGAAGUUAAGGUAUCCUUUCAGUAUUGUUUCCAAGCAAAUCCCUUCAUAGCUUUACACCAGAAGUCUAAAAAAUUGCCACGACCAGAAGACUAAUAGUGAUAAUCUGAACCACCGAGGUAAGCUUACAUUCUAGAUCACUCAAUCCUGUUGAAGGCAAAUUAAGGAGUUAAUUACAUUUUAGAUUCAGAUACAAUAGACAGAUACGUAAGAUGCAUCACUAUUAUGUGGAUAAAUAAGUUCAAUGAAUACAUGUUAGAAUUGCAAGACGAUGAUGUUGUUCAUACCAAAUAGUAUCCCAUCGCUACUCAUGUGUGUAUGAGUUAUGGAUCAUAUAGGGAGAUACAAUAUCUUGGUAGUUCGUGCAAUGCAUAAAGGUAAGUUCAGGUAUGAAUCUUUCUUGGUGAUUGUAUCCCCAUCAAGUCAAGUUGGUCCUUCCUGCAGCUAGCUGCACCAAGCAUUGCUCUAUUACAGGUACACAUAUAGUAGAAGGAUUUAGAUUCUCUACUUUAUUGUCUAAAACCAACAAGGAAUAAUAAAAAUAAUAUUUGACCAAAGCUGUUGCAACUUCUCUAGCAAAUUUCGAUGAAGAUUAUCUAUUGUUAUUGUCUAAAACCAAGAAGGAAUAAUGAAAAUAAUAUUUGAUCAAGGCUGUUGCAACUCCUCUAGCAAAUUUCUGCUAAGCUCUGCUAAGCAUAACAUGCAAUCUUACUAUAUGUAUUAUCACAGCCAACCACUAAUGCACAUCUUCAGCCAAAUAACUACAGAGGAGUAGAGUGGAAUCAUACAGUACCUAUGACCAGGACAACAAUCUUUUUUGCUGGAACUAUUUUUUAUGGGACCAGCCAAAACUUUUGCUGCGACCUGGCAGGAGCGAGCCAUUGUUUUUGCUGGAAAUGACGAGUUUUUUGGCCGUAAACAUUUUGUUGGAACAAAAUAUAAAUAGCAUUAACUAACAGCAAGGCUAUUGGAUCUUGACACCGAAAUAGUCAAUUAAAUAAGUAGAAGUUGUGAGGAACUACUGCUAUUUAAAAACAGAGGCAUAUUCUGUUGAUCAAAUCAGUAGGGUUUUUUUAACUGAAAAGGCCUUUCCGUUAAGCAAAAAACCUUAGAUAAAUCAUUAUUCAUGCACCUUGCCAAUUAGCACAAAUAGAGAUGCAAAUUAUCCCAGAGAGUUAGAAGACCCAAAAAAAUUAACCCGCACAUGGUGCACUCACACAUAAGAGAAGACCCAAGCAGAGCGAUCAAGCCAUGCAAUUCAAGUUAUUAAAAUACUAAUUAGUUAUUGUAUCUCGACGGAUAGUCUUAUCUAAAAACAAUUAAACGAUAUGGAGUAGUUUGCAAGGAGUAUAUACAUACUAUUUUUUCAAAUGGGAUAUAUACAACUAUUCUCAGAGUAUAUGCCUAUGAUACUGGCAAUAACGAUCAGUGUAUACUCAUUGUCACAAAGGAGUGUAUGGUGUGUUUUCUUUUCAAAUGAUAGUAUACUAUUUUUCGCAAAGGGGUAUAGAAGAGAGGGCCUUUCUGUAUGGUGUGUUUCAGUAUCGAUCAACAGUAUAUGUUUCUUUCUGUCUUGUCGUACAUAUACUUCACUGCUGAGGAGAAAGUAUACACCAAAAAAAUUAAGUACUGAACCAAGGGAAACCUGUGAGGAGAAGCAUGCAUGCAUCCGGUGAGAAAAAGUAAAAGUGAUAAAAAGUAGUAUAUACUUGAACAAAAGUAGUAUAUACUAUAUUAUCUGAAAAAGUAAGAAGAAUGAAUUUCAAAUACUCGUGGCAAUUUAAAUGAUAGACAAAAGUAGUCUUUGAUGACAGAUGCAAAUUGAUGACACUGCAGUAUGUACCUCAGGUCAGACAAAGUUCCGGCGAACAGUCGAGUACGAGAAGUGUACAGCCACGCGAGGUCGGAAACGUGAGGCGCAACGAUAAGCCAAAAAACUUCAUAUUAUCCAAC